rnacentral:rRNA from 1 species
GACGAACGCUGGCGGCGUGCUUAACACAUGCAAGUCGAACGGAAGGGCCCUGCUUUUGUGGGGUGCUCGAGUGGCGAACGGGUGAGUAACACGUGAGUAACCUGCCCUUGACUUUGGGAUAACUUCAGGAAACUGGGGCUAAUACCGGAUAGGAGCUCCUGCUGCAUGGUGGGGGUUGGAAAGUUUCGGCGGUUGGGGAUGGACUCGCGGCUUAUCAGCUUGUUGGUGGGGUAGUGGCUUACCAAGGCUUUGACGGGUAGCCGGCCUGAGAGGGUGACCGGCCACAUUGGGACUGAGAUACGGCCCAGACUCCUACGGGAGGCAACAGUGGGGAAUAUUGCACAAUGGGCGGAAGCCUGAUGCAGCAACGCCGCGUGCGGGAUGACGGCCUUCGGGUUGUAAACCGCUUUCGCCUGUGACGAAGCGUGAGUGACGGUAAUGGGUAAAGAAGCACCGGCUAACUACGU